rnacentral:misc_RNA from 1 species
ACCUCACCAAGGCCAGCAC